GUGUGUGUGGUUGUGAUCUCUGUCCAAACCAUUUUAAACUGUAAAAGGAGAAACUGUGAACACUGCAGUGAGAAACUUAAAGUCUCAGUCAAAGAGAAGACGACCAAUCAGGAUGAUGAAGCUGAGGAGGUGAAUUAUGCAG